CAGUCGCCACGGUAAUACGUAGGUGGCGAGCGUUGUCCGGAAUUAUUGGGCGUAAAGGGCUCGCAGGCGGUUUCUUAAGUCUGAUGUGAAAGCCCCCGGCUCAACCGGGGAGGGUCAUUGGAAACUGGGAAACUUGAGUGCAGAAGAGGAGAGUGGAAUUCCACGUGUAGCGGUGAAAUGCGUAGAGAUGUGGAGGAACACCAGUGGCGAAGGCGACUCUCUGGUCUGUAACUGGCGCUGAGGAGCGAAAGCGUGGGGAGCGAACAGGAUUAGAUACCCCUGUAGUCCCUGUCUCUUAUAC
rnacentral:rRNA from 1 species